rnacentral:rRNA from 1 species
CCUACGGGUGGCAGCAGUGGGGAAUAUUGGACAAUGGGCGAAAGCCUGAUGCAGCCAUGCCGCGUGUGUGAAGAAGGCCUUCGGGUUGUAAAGCACUUUCAGCGGGGAGGAAGGCGGUGAGGUUAAUAACCUCAUCGAUUGACGUUACCCGCAGAAGAAGCACCGGCUAACUCCGUGCCAGCAGCCGCGGUAAUACGGAGGGUGCAAGCGUUAAUCGGAAUUACUGGGCGUAAGGCGCACGCAGGCGGUCUGUCAAGUCGGAUGUGAAAUCCCCGGGCUCAACCUGGGAACUGCAUUCGAAACUGGCAGGCUAGAGUCUUGUAGAGGGGGGUAGAAUUCCAGGUGUAGCGGUGAAAUGCGUAGAGAUCUGGAGGAAUACCGGUGGCGAAGGCGGCCCCCUGGACAAAGACUGACGCUCAGGUGCGAAAGCGUGGGGAGCAAACAGGAUUAGAUACCCGGGUAGUC